UACGUAGGCGGAAGAUUAAGUCAGUAGUGAAAUCCCGCAGCUUAACUGUGGAAUUGUUAUUGAUACUGGUUUUCUUGAAUUUAGUUGAGGUAGGCGGAAUGUGUAAUGUAGCGGUGAAAUGCUUAGAUAUUACACAGAACACCGAUUGCGAAGGCAGCUUACUAAGCUAUGAUUGACGCUGAGGUACGAAAGCGUGGGGAGCGAACAGGAUUAGAUACCCUGGUAGUCC
rnacentral:rRNA from 1 species